GGUCGUUCAGCCGUAUGCAACUCUUUGCGACCCCGUGGACUACACAGUCCAUAGAAUUCUCCAGGCCAGAAUACUGGAGUGGGUAGCCAUUCCCUUCUCCAGAGGAUCUUCCCAACCCAGGGAUCGAACCCAGGUUUCUCACAUUGCAGGCGGAUUCUUUACCAGCUGAGCUGCCACGUAAGCCCAAGAAUACUGGAGUGGGUAGCCUAUCCCUUCUCCAGCGGAUCUUUCUGACCCAGGAAUCAAACAGGGAACUCCUGCACUGCAGGCAGAUUCUUUACCAGCUGAGCUGCCAGGGAAGCCGGUAGAACCAGACCUACCCAUAAACUAAAUCCUAAGUCAGAGCCAUGGGUGGGAAGAAUUGCAGGUGGAAACCAGGCACAAUUCUCACCCUUCACAAUUACAGGCCAAAUGAGGGAUUGUACCUGAGAGAAAAACUGCUGUUGGAACUUGAAAAGAAAAUAGAUACAAAUUCUUCAGUUAGUUUCUAUUCUGAUUGCAAGGAAGAGGAUCCAUGUAUUUCUCAUCAAGCCCAAAAGACUACCUAGGGAAACAAAGUGUAUGCCACGAAGAUACUGCCGGUGAGAAACAGAAAGUGACAAUUUUCAAAGUCAUUUUAGACCAGACCCAUUUGCUUGUAUGGAUGUGUGUGUGUUUACAACAGCCAUGCUCCCCCCGGCAAAGUAAAAUACACUGGAAAUGGGGGAGUAUGGCGUAGGGUGGGGUGAAGAAGAACGUGGCAAUGUUUUCAGUUCCUGAAUAACAGUCCCCGACUCGCCAGUGAGACACUGGACCACAGGCAGGAUGAAUGUUUGGGUCUGGACAACUGACUCCGUUGGUUGAUUUUUGCUACCUUGGCCCAAACAAGCAUGUCCACUAUCUUUCUUCUUGCUCCUGAAUCUCAGCGUGAUCAAGUAUCAAGAGACAAGCAAGCAGCCAAAUGGAGCAAAGAGAAGAGCAAUCAUUGCAAAGAAUUCCUGUGGGGUUCACUGGGGUUUUCAGAAAGUAAGGGAUGCUCAUGGUUGUGAGUGGACGUCCGACUUACCUGCUGUAGGUGAAGGUGGUUCUUCCUACAGAACGCUCUCUCCAGAAAGACAUCCCCUCUCUGGGACGUGAGGUGGAGUAGAAGGACUAACCAUCUAAAAUUGUCAGCUAUGUCAUUUCUUUUCAGCAUUAACUCAUUUCAGCCUGAAAAUCUUGACAAUGCAAAUUUGUUCUCCAGCGGGGGAGAGAGAAUGGGAGAAAGAAACAAUAUUCCUGCCUUUAAUCUGGUGAGAAUAAUCAGGAAGGAUGGGUGAGAGGCACCACGCGUUCUGUGCUGUGCUUUUGAAAAGAGAACAAAACACCAUGUCCAGAGAUAAAUUGUCAUCGUCUGAAGCUCCAGUUUUCUUACAAAUUCUUAAGGAAAUGUUGCCCCCUUCUGGACAAAAGGUACAAUAGACAGCCGCCACAGCCUUGCCAUCCAACCUGUUUAUAAACUCAUCUACCUGCGUUAGUCAGGAAGGGUUUUGCUCUGCUGUCUUUUCUGUCACUAUGCCUAGACAACACUAAUUCACUUUUAAAAAGUCACUAUACCAGCACGAAUCAUAUGCAUAAGAGAUCAGAAAGCCCAUUUUACCAAUUAGACAGAUUCUUCAAAACAGGAAUAAUCAAUCACGCUGACGAAGUUUACCAGAUUUUUUCAAUCUCACUCACAGCCUCCUUACCUUCUAUAGGAC
rnacentral:lncRNA from 1 species